rnacentral:lncRNA from 1 species
AAAGACACUCCUUUACAUGCCUCAUGAUUUAUGUUCAUAUUAAGAAUGAAUAAAGGUAAAAGGAAGAAGGUCAUAUUCAAUGAAUUAAUGCGAGAAACAAACAACGUAAGCUUGCGAAAUUAAAGGGAUGAGGCAACAAGAAAAAUACUCAUGAUUUCUAGAAUUGAACAAACAUAGACACCAAUCCAUAUAACAAAAGAAAAUAAAGGCUAACUUUUCAAUAAAGAGAAUCUUUAAAUUUCAAUUAAGGCGACA